UGGCGAACGGGUGAGUAACACGUGGGUGAUCUGCCCUGCACUUCGGGAUAAGCCUGGGAAACUGGGUCUAAUACCGGAUAGGAGCCAUCUUUAGUGUGAUGGUUGGAAAGUUUUUUCGGUGUAGGAUGAGCUCGCGGCCUAUCAGCUUGUUGGUGGGGUAAUGGCCUACCAAGGCGGCGACGGGUAGCCGGCCUGAGAGGGUGGACGGCCACAUUGGGACUGAGAUACGGCCCAG
rnacentral:rRNA from 1 species